rnacentral:snRNA from 1 species
GGAUGUGAGGGAGAUGUGGCUACAUCUGUCACCCCACUGAUUGCCAGGGUUGAUCACCUGCUUUGGCUAAGCUGCCUCCCUCAUCCUUCCACGUGUGCCCUUCUGGACUUUCCCUGAAUAGAGGACGACCAGUCUUCAGUCAAGGGUACAUGAGUAGAUACAUUCCCCUGCUAGAACCUCCAACAAACUCUCAAGGGAGCUGAAUUCUUAUGCCACAUGUCUACAAGAUAGUAUGCUCAUACACGGUAGGCAGGUGGGGCAGGGAGGGGCUUCUUUCGU